AUGGAGAAAGAAUUGAAUACAUCACUUCUCUUGAAGCACAUAGCACAAACCUACUUAUCUUUAGAAGAGACCCAAGAACCCAAGGGUACAGUUUCUUUUCUCCAGACUGACUCAGAAUCCACAGAUUCUUCUCUAUCUGCUAAAAAGAAACAACCUCUGGACAACAGAGAAACUGAGAGACAUUGGUUGCUCAGAAGAAAGCGAUCUACUUUAUUUCCUAAUGGUGUGAAAACUUGCCCAGAUGAAAGUGUUACAGAGGCUGUGGCAAACCAUCUGAAGUAUUUUAAAGUCCGAGUAUGCCAGGAAGCUGUCUGGGAAGCCUUCAGGACUUUUUGGGAUCGACUUCCUGGGCGUGAGGAAUAUCAUUAUUGGAUGAAUUUGUGUGAGGAUGGAAUCACGACUAUAUUUGAAAUGGGCACACAUUUUAGUCAGUCUGUGGAACACAGAAGCUUAAUUAUGCAGAAACUGACAUAUGCAAAGGAGACUGUAAGUGGCUCUGAAUUGUCAUCUCCAGUUCCUGUUGGUGACAUGUCAACACUGGGAGAUGCUGGUCUCAGUGUUCCAUAUCCAGGGGUGACCUCCUAUGAAGGUAUCUCAGAGAGCAGCUUGGAGAGGCCAGACGACAGUAUUAGCAAUGAAAUUGAGAAUAUGAUAGAAGAAUCCAGAAAAACAGCUGCUGAGCAGGUUGCAGAAUUCAGUAUCCACCUUUUGGGGGAACAGUACAAUGAAGAACUACAGGACCCCUCUAGCUUUCACCACCAGCGCCUUGUAGAAGACUUUAUUUCAGAGGUGGAAAAUGCAUUUACUGGGUUACCGGGCUACAAGGACAUUCGUGUACUUGACUUUAGGUCCCCUAAGGAAAAUGACAGUGGCAUAGAUGUUCACUAUGCAGUUACCUUCAAUGGGGAGGCUAUCAGCAAUACCACCUGGGACCUAAUUAGCCUACAUUCCAACAAGGUGGAAAACCAUGGUCUUGUAGAAUUGGAUGAUAAACCCACUGCCGUUUAUACAAUUAGUAACUUCAGAGAUUAUAUUGCUGAGACACUGCACCAGAAUUUUUUGCUGGGGAGCUCUUCUUUGAAUCCAGAUCCUGACUCCCUUCAGCUUAUCAAUGUGAGAGGGGUUUUACUUCCCCAAAGUGAAGACCAAGUUUGGAACACUCAAAGUUCAAGUCUUCAGCAAGCCCCGCCAUCUAUUCUGGAUAAUACCCCUCAAGCUGAAUGGCCCUCAGCAGAUGAAUCCACCACGAGCAGUAUUUCACCACUUGGUUUCAGCUCUGGCCUUCCUUCAGCCACUGACAGGGAACUCUGGUCAGAAAGCCCUUUGGGUGAUUUAGUGUCUACACCCAAAUUAGCCUUUCCCUUGGAGGUGAGCCUCAGUUCUUCCCCAGAGGUUUUAGACCUUAGCGGCUUGACUCUUCAUUCUAUCACCCCAGCAGUGCUUCAGACUGACCUGCCUGUGGCUUCUGAAGAAAGGCCUUCUGGGUCUCACUCAUUAGAAGAUGGAUUAAUGAAAGUUGAAGGGUCAGAAGAUUUUCUUUCUGUCAAUCCAUUGCCUUCAAGUCCAUUUACUUAUCCUGUGCCAAAAGGAACACCACCAUCCAUGGAAGACUCUGGGGUAUCUUUGCCAUCCUCACCAUAUCCAGUCUCCUCUGUCACAUUUGAUCUUCUUGCUAAAGAAGUAACUACACCGUUUGGCAUGGACUCUUUGGCCUCCAAAGUCAAAGACCAAUUAGAAGUGAGCACUUGGAUGCCAGACACAGCUAUGGAAAAAGAGUUCAUGUUUGAAAGUGGUUUGGGUUCAGGGUCUGGGCAAAAGGAAGACCUGAUUACCUGGCCAUGGAGUGAGACUUCAUUAGAGAAGAGCACUGAACCAUUGUCCAAGUCAUGGCUUGAAGCUGAGGAUUCACUUUUGCUAACUGAGGGUAUAGAUGUGAGACUAGUUAUAGAUGACAAAAUAGAUUCUGCAUAUCAACAUACUGAGCAUUCAGAAUAUGGGCCUUUUAAUGGGUCUACAAACUUUGCAGAAGAUGAGCCCCUUAGUGGACCUACUGUGUCCCUCUUUGCAGAGACCAGAACUCAAUCUGCAUCUCCAAUUCUACCCAAACACACAUCAGAGGUACCCGACACUGAUUAUUACUCAGUUACCAAAUCACCUCCUCUGUUGACAUUUGUGGCAGUCUCUGCUUCUACUGAUAAACCAGAUCAAGUAGAACAUUUUCUAAAGGAGGAUAUGGAGCAGACUACAGAGUCAUUUAACCGUGAAUGGUUUGACAAUAAGAUUUCAAUAGAAAAGUCAGAUGUGCAGCUUUUGAGGACCACAGUGCCAGAGUCAGAUGUCAUUUGGGCAAGAACUUCUCCCUUAGGGAAACUGUCCAGAGACACAUCGGCAAGUACACCACAGAGUACUGACAAGCCCUGGUCGAAAGCUUCCAUGACACAGUCUGCCAAAUUGCCUUCAACCAUAAGUUCCGCCCUGCUGGAAGAUGAAGUCAUUAUGGGUGUACAGGAUAUUUCAUUAGAGUUGGACCAGAUAGGCACAGAUUACUAUCAGCCUGAGCUAAUCCCUGAGGAAAGUGGCAUGGUUGGUAGUUAUGUGGAAAUGUCUACAAAUAUCCACUCCACAGAGAUGGCUGUUGUGGCUCAACCCACAAGAAGUGAUGACUUGAGUCAUACCCAAGCCGCUGGAGCUGUGGUGGUUUUCUUCAGCCUCAGAGUGACUAACAUGAUGUUUUCAGAAGAUCUGUUUAAUAAAAACUCUUUGGAGUAUAAAGCCCUGGAGCAAAGAUUCUUAGAACUGCUGGUUCCCUAUCUCCAAUCAAAUCUCACUGGAUUCCAGAAUUUAGAAAUCCUGAACUUCAGAAAUGGCAGUAUUGUGGUGAAUAGCCGAAUGAAGUUCACCAGGUCUGUCCUUCCUAACGUCACCAGUGCUGUCUAUGUGAUUCUGGAAGACUUUUGCACUACUGCCUACCAAACCAUGAACUUGGCUAUUGAUAAAUACUCCCUUGAUGUGGAAUCAGGUGAUCAAGCCAACCCUUGCAAGUUUCAAGCAUGCAAUGAAUUUUCUGAGUGUUUGGUCAAUCCCUGGAGUGGAGAGGCAGAGUGCAGAUGCUACCCUGGGUACCUGAGUGUGGAAGAGCUGCCCUGUCAGAGUCUCUGUGACCUACAGCCCAACUUCUGCUUGAAUGAUGGGAAGUGUGACAUCAUGCCUGGACAUGGGGCCAUUUGCAGGUGCCGGGUGGGUGAGAACUGGUGGUACCGUGGUGAGCACUGCGAAGAGUUUGUGUCUGAGCCCUUGGUGAUCGGCAUCACCAUUGCCUCCAUGAUUGGACUUGUCCUCAUUUCUUCUGCUGCAGUGAGGGAAAGAGGGAGACCCUCCAGCAGGCAGCGAGAUGGCCUCUCGUCUGUAGAAAGAGCCGUGAAGCACAACCCCGUAUUUGAAAGUUACGAGGCCGACCUUGAGCAGUAUGAGGGCCCCUACCCUCAGCGGCCCUUCUACAGCUCAGACAGAGAGAUGAUUGCUGGUCUGAGUAGGGAAGAGAUCAGACAAAUGUAUGAGAACAGUGACCUUUCCAGAGAGGAAAUCCAAGAAAGAAUGAGAAUUUUGGAACUCUAUGCCAGGGAUCCUGAGUUUGCAGCUUUUGUCAGAGAACAUCAAAUCAGGGAAGAGCUUUAAUCAAAACUCAUAUUUGCAACUGAUUAGAAGCCUAGAGAAGAUGGAGAUCGCUCAUUACAUCAUAUUAAUUAACCUGGAUUUGGAACUCUGUUGAAAGAAGAAUUUUCUAUUAAAAAAUUAAAUUCGGGACUCAAAAUUUUUUUCUAGUUUAAAAUUUUAGAAUUUGGCCAGAGAUGUGAUGGUAUUUAUAUCCACAAAGACCAAAAGCUGUAUUUCAGUUCAGUUCAGUCACUCAGUUGUGUCUGAACAUUCUUUUGCAAGCCCAUGGACUGCAGCACGCCAGGCCUCCCUGUCCAUCACCAGCUCUUGGAGUUUAUUCAAAGUCAUGUCCAUUGAGUCAGUGAUGCCAUCCAACCAUCUCAUCCUCUGUCAUUCCCUUCUCCUCCCGCCUUCCAUCUUUCCCAGCAUCACGGUCUUUUCAACAUCAGGUGGCCAAAGGAUUGGAGUUUCAGCUUCAGCAUCAAUCCUUCCAAUGAAUAUUCAGGACUGAUCUCCUUUAGGAUGGACUGGUUGAAUCUCCUUGCAGUCCAAGGGACUCUCAAGAGUCUUCUCCAAGACCACAGUUCAAAAGCAUCAAUUCUUCAGCACUCAGCUUUGUUUGUAGUCCAGCUCUCACAUCCAUACAUGACUACUGAAAAAACCACAGCUUUGACUAGACAGACGUUUGUUGGCAAAGUAAUGUCUCUGCUUUUUAAUAUUCUGUCUAGGCUGGUCAUAGUUUUUCUUCCAAGAAGGAAGCGUCUUUUAAUUUCAUGGCUGCAGUCACCAUCUGCAGUGAUUUUGGAGCCCCCCAAAAUAAAGACUGUCACUGUUUCCGUUUCCCCCA
rnacentral:lncRNA from 1 species